GAAUACUCGAAGUUGCAGACUCCUGGAGUAUUGGCAUAAUGGAGCGGGCUCGACCAUCGGUACCGGAACCGCACCUCAUCCGCCCACGAGCACACUGCCGCCAGAUCCCCUCCGGCAGACUCCGGCAGAAGGUCUAACACCGCUGCUGACGCUUUCUUCGUGAGAUAUUUCUGUCACAAUACAAGAUUUCUUUGAUCUGUGGUUUAUGAACUCAAGAGAUCAGUAAAAAUCAAUGUAAGAUUUCAUGUCACCUCUGCUAUUUUGCAGACCAUGUAGUGCCCCUCCUUCCCCCAGGCCUGCGCGGUUGGAGCUCCAGCUACUAGCAGAAGAAAGAAGACGCGGAGGAAGAGUAAGAAACCCAUCUUUCUUUCUUCUGCACGUCUCCCGCUUCGGUUUCCCUUCCCCCCC
rnacentral:lncRNA from 1 species